UCGGUCUCAAAUACUUUAUAAAUUCCUGAUAAAUCCGCUGUGCCCAGCGGGAUUGGCGAAUAAAAAUAAGAUUACAAUGGAGUCACUUAAAUUUCAAACCAGUUUGGAAGCCCAGAUGGAAAGUUAGAUAGGUUCGAAGGCGAGAGAGCCAAAAAUACGUGCCAGUGACCAAGUAAUUCAAAAAAAAAAAAGAAAUCCGAAAUUCCUCUCCCAAAAGAGGAAAAUUGCCAUCACCUCCCUGUCUAUCUCUCUCGCUCUCUGUAUGUCUCCAAAGUAUUCUAAAAACAGCCCACGAAUGGUAAACACGGCCUCCUGUCCCCCCCCACCCACCUUAUUUCUUUCGUUCAAGCCACACAAACACCAGCAUCCACAAAAAAGAAAAUAG
rnacentral:lncRNA from 1 species